rnacentral:rRNA from 1 species
GCAUAUCAAUAAGCGGAGGAAAAGAGACCAACAGGGAUUGCCUUAGUAACGGCGAGUGAAGCGGCAAAAGCUCAAAUUUGAAAUCGGCCACCAGGUCGAGUUGUAAUUUGUAGAUUGUAUCUUGAGAGCGGAUUAAAGUCUGUUGGAACACAGCGCCUUAGAGGGUGACAGCCCCGUAAAAUCUAUUCUCAUUGUAAGAUACUUUCGAAGAGUCGAGUUGUUUGGGAAUGCAGCUCUAAGUGGGAGGUAAAUUCCUUCUAAAGCUAAAUAUUGACGAGAGACCGAUAGCGAACAAGUACUGUGAAGGAAAGAUGAAAAGCACUUUGAAAAGAGAGUGAAAAAGUACGUGAAAUUGUUAAAAGGGAAGGGUAUUGAAUCAGACUUGGUGCUGUUGUUCAACUGUGUUUUGGCACAGUGUACUCAGCAGUACUAGGCCAAGGUGGGGUGUUUGGGAGUGAAAAAGAAGUAGGAACGUAACUCUUCGGAGUGUAAUAGCCUACUCUCAUAGCUCCUCAGGCGCCUCAGGACUGCGCUUCGGCAAGGACCUUGGCAUAAUGAUUCUAUACCGCCCGUCUUGAAACACGGACC